AAUGCGGAUAUUCCAGAAGACUUGAGGCAAAUCCAAUCUUCCCCAUUCUAUGGUUACAACAACCUGGACUUUGUAAUAACUGGAACCCGUGUGCGAGUCGCAAUUAAAAACACUAUCGAUGGUUUGCUCUGGAUUUCACCUCAUUUAAGGACUGUUACAAUCAAAUCAUUUUACUCGAACUGGUUCUCUUUUAAGGUACUGAAGAUUUUGCAUUGGUCUGAAUUAGUUCUUGGUUUAUACUGUGAGAAUUAUGUGAUUAUGAUACACAUGUAAUGCUGGUACUUAAGUUGGUCCAUUUUACGUUUAUGCCUUUGUUUUGCGUGCUUGUAACAAACGCUGCUUUGCUUAUAACUGCCUUGUCCUUUUGUUUCAGUUUGAGUUUUCUUAUAAGAAGCAGGCAGUAUAUGAAGGAGGGAUUGCUCAAUGCUGCAAAUCCCGUCCCAUCUCAUGCUGGCGGCAGUGCAUAGAGGAAGUUGUGGUUGAGUAUACAUCUAAUUGUGUAAACAACGUCAAAAGGUACAUUUUUAACGGUGAGGACAUUUGGGAGAAGAUAGAUUGGCUUGCAGAUUUGGACACUAGCUUGGCAUGGAGUGUUGAACUCUAGCCUUGCGUCUGGCUAGCCCCUAUGGCUCUUGUAUUUUUAUUUUGGAUUGAUUAAUAAGGAGUCGGGUAAUACGGUGCCAGGACAGCUUCUUUUAUGUUUGUUAGUUGAAGACAUUGUUUGUCAUUUUUAUUUAUUGAAUAACAAAAAGGUCAAAUAAAGUUUUUCUUUGGACUUUUUGUUCUUCAGAGCAGAAUGAAACUCAAAUUAAGUUUUUCAUUUAGCCGAUGGGAGGUUCUCCCGAUUUUUUGGAAAAAGUGUUUUGAUGAUACAAGUUUCAAAAAUUAGGUAGUGCAGAUUAUUUUGGUGACUAUAUGGUUACAUGAACUGAAAUACAAGUAUGCAACCCAAGAGGGGGGGUGAAUUGGGAUUCUAAAAAAUUAUUCAAUUUAUUAAAGAAAAUCUUAAUGCAAUUAUAAAUCAAAUUCAAAGCAAUAACAAUUAAGAGAAUCACAAUAUAAAAAGAUAAGGGAAGAGGGAUUCAAACACCGAGAUUUUUACGUGGUUCGGCCAACCUCGCCUACGUCCACGCNNNNNNNNNNNNNNNNNNNNNNNNNNNNNNNNNNNNNNNNNNNNNNNNNNNNNNNNNNNNNNNNNNNNNNNNNNNNNNNNNNNNNNNNNNNNNNNNNNNNNNNNNNNNNNNNNNNNNNNNNNNNNNNNNNNNNNNNNNNNNNNNNNNNNNNNNNNNNNNNNNNNNNNNNNNNNNNNNNNNNNNNNNNNNNNNNNNNNNNNNNNNNNNNNNNNNNNNNNNNNNNNNNNNNNNNNNNNNNNNNNNNNNNNNNNNNNNNNNNNNNNNNNNNNNNNNNNNNNNNNNNNNNNNNNNNNNNNNNNNNNNNNNNNNNNNNNNNNNNNNNNACGGUACAGCAGCAUGAUUGGUUUUGUUGAGAGGUGACAGACUCUAUAUAUAUAUAUAUAUAUAUAUAUAUAAUUUGGAUGGGGAUAUCAAUUAUUUUUAAAAAAUUUAAAUUAGUCUGAAUUUAAAAAAAAAAUUGAAUGUAUAAUGUUUCUUUUAUUUGAAUCGUUAGAAAUAAGUAUUAAUUUUUUUAACUUAAAAAAUAUGAAAAUUAGUAUUUGUAUAUGUGUGCCCUUGUAAAUUAUAAAUGUUAAACAAACAAUAAAUAUCUCAAAGAAUAUAAAUAAAAUAAUAUAUUAUCAUAACAUAAUUCAUGUUUAAUUGAAUACAAUAUAUGUUAAUCAAUUUUGUUCUAGUUUAUGAUGUUUUUAGACAAAAAAUAUUCAUAUAAAGUUAUAAAGAAAAAUAAUGUAAAUUUGAAGAAAAUAAUAGUAGUCUUACCACUAUAUUAUCACAAUUUAUUAAGAUGGGUAAUAAUACUAGGUAAGGAUAAAAAUUAAUUAGUUACACAUGUUUUAGAAAAUAUCUUUUAAUGACAUCAUUUAGACUUUUUAGAUUAAACAAAAAUUUAAGAAAGUUUUCUUAAUAACUUAAUGAUUAAUAACUACAAAUUUUCAUUAAGUUGAAAAAAGGAGGACUUAAUAACUUUAGUUGAUUGAAAUUAACUUAAUACUAGUUUUACCACUAUAUUAUCACAGGUUAUAGAGAUAGACAAUGUCAGCGCUGAUUUUUGGUCAAUUGAAAAAUUACACAAACAAGACGAUAUAAAAAAAUAAAACAUAGAGAAUUUACAUAGUUCAGUGCUUAGCCUAUGUUCAUGGGAAUAAAAAGAGCAACUUUCACCAUUUAGGGUCUGUUUAGGAUUAAUUUUAGAAAGCUUAAAAGUGAUUUUGAAAAUUUAAAAACUAAUUUUAGUGUUUGAUAAAAAAAAAUCAAAAUUACUUUAAUCAAAUCAAAAUUAACCCAUCCUACAACUAAUUUUGAAAAGUAAGGAAGAAUUAGCUUUUAGAUUCUAAUUUUGAGAAUUAAUUUUAUCCCUUGAUUUAAUUCCAUAAAUAUCCUUAAAAUUAUUACUUAAACCCAAAAUAAUUUUUUAUCUUUAUUCAAAUUAGAAACAAAAUCAAUAUUUGAAUAAAAUUUUAUUAUAAUUUAUCAAUAUAAAUUUAUUAAUUUCAAUUUGUUGGUUGAAUUAUUAUUAAAUUUGUUUUACUAUAUUAUAAAUUUAAUUAUCGAGUAUUUUAAGAUAAUAAAAAAUAAAAUGAAUAUAUUAUAAAUUCUAUUUUUAAUAAAAAUUAUUAUAAUACACAAUUAAAAAUAUUAUAUGUACAUGUUUUUAUAUGUAUAAGUAAAUUUUAUCAUGCAUCGUGUAUGUUUUAGUCAUUUAUUUUUCUCAGCAGUUUAACAGUAAAAGUAACUCAACAUUCAUAAUUACUUUCAAGACUCACAGUACUUAUAAAAACAAAAUUUACCAAACACUUAACUGAUUCUCUUCACAGCUGAUUAUUUCUACAGCACAGUUAAAAUUAAUUAUUUUAAAAGGUACAACAUUCCCAAACUAGCCCUUAAUGAAAAAUACAAAAAAGUUUUUCCUUUUUUUUUCUGACUUAACUCUUGCCUCUGUCUUAUAUGCAUGAAAAACUCUUUAUUUAUAAUAUAAUUUUAGGUGCCCUAAGUCAUUGAUAACUUCUUGUUCUAAUCAACUUUUACAAGUUAAUUAGAGUUUUAUCCGAAAUCUAUAUUUAUUUCUCGUUAAAUUGGUUUUCUGAAACUUCUAAAUUUUUCUUUUGGGUUUAAAUAGCGGGUUCUGGAUUCUUCCUUUGCAACUGCGAUGACUUUGGCUUCAUGACCUCAUGCUUACGUAAUGUCCUCAUGCUUUCAGUUCACAUAUAUUCAUGACAUCUUAUUUAUGUCACGUAGCUCACAUGCAUGCUUCUUGCUCUCACAUCUUCAUAACAUAAUGGAGCGAGUGUAGUGGAAGCGGAAUUGAUUGGAUAGAAAUGCUAGAUAUCAUUGUAGUAUUGGACCAAGCCAACGCAAUUAGGUCACGCUCUAAUCGAAGCGUGAUUAGAUCUCGUUCUAAUCCAAAUGAAUCAAUGAGAUUUUUAAUAACACGUAAUGCGAGAUUAGAUGAUGCUCUAAUCCAAACGACUCUACAAGAGAGAUUUUGAUAGAUAAUUCCAAAAGAAAUUAUAAAAAGAGAGUUUUACUGAAUAAUUGAAUUUGAAGUGCUGAAAAUAAUAAUAAGACUUUUCUAUAAUAGAGUAAACUCACUUCCCUAAGUUAACUUAAAAAGAGGAACUAAAUCACAAUUAUAAUGGAAACAAAAGAUAGUUUCCUAAGUUAAUUAAAUAUCAUACCUUAGUUGAUCCUGAUAAAAAUAGAAAGUCAUAAAAUAUUAAAAUUCUAGAAUUUUAAAAUACCUAAAAUAACUUCCUACAUCAUAACAUCUUACUUAUGUCACACUUCUUGCUCUCAUAUUGUUAUGACAGCUUGCUUAUAUUAUGCUUCUCACAUGCAUGCUUUCUUGCUCACAUAUCUUCGUGAUAUUUUACUUACAUCAUGCUUCUUAUUCUCAUAUCUUCAUAGCAUCUUGCUUAUGUCAUGCAACUCACGUACGUGCUUUCUUGUUUUCUCCUGAUAACAAAUAAUAAUACUAAUUAGUAAAUUUUAUUUAGGUAAGGAUGAAAAUUAAUUAAUUAGAUAAGAAUAUUUUGGAGAAUAUUUUUUAAUGAUAUCAUUUAGAUUUUUUAGAUUAAACGAAAAGAUAAAAAAAAAUAGCUUAAUAACUUAAUGAUUAAUGAUUAAAAAUUUUCAUUAAAUUGAAAAAAAAAACUUAAUAACUUAGUUGAUUGGAAUUAAGUCAUUAAAUUUUUUUAAAAAAAAGCGCCCACUAAACACCAGCCACUGAGCUUUAUAUUAUUACUUGAAUUCAAGGUUAUCGUGGAUACAUUAAACAAAGCAUAUUUACUGCCAAUUGAGCUGCGUCAAGAGGACUUAUCCAAAAACUUAAAUAAUAGAAAAGACUCGCAUUAAUACCAACAACAUAUCAAUUACCAGUGGUAAAUUUGUUUAAACAAAGAGCAGAAGCAAUAAUUUUUUACACUAGUUUCCGUAAUUUAGUUCACAAGGCUGUGGCACUCAACCCAACAAAUCUUGUGUAGUUUUUUUUUUUUUUGGUGUAUUAAACCAUCUGGUAUCCGAAGAUUAUAUUGUGCCCGCCUAAUCUAUAUUCGAGCUGGGUAGGACUACUAAGGCGACAAAACUCUCUCAACAAAUAUUUAAUGCAGCUGCAUUCCCAAAUCUUAAAUCUUAGUUAGGAUAUAACAGCCCCUGCUAGCUGAUGUACGCAUUUGUUGGUAAUCUCGUGUAGCUUUCACAGCACAUAUGCAGAGCCAUAAUUUCAAUUCGUGCAUCUCGCUAUGGCAGGGCCUUUAACUAGCUAAUAGUAUUCACACGACAUGACAAACUACAAAAGUAACAGAAAGUGAAACAAUGUGAUAGUCAAGUUUACUUAAAAUAGUGAACCAUCACAAAAUGUUGAAUAAUAUGAGAUUGAAACAAACAAAUCCAGAAUCAGCAAAAUGGAUAAUUGUGCAUUGUACAAGAACACAAUUGCAGCUAGGUACCUUUGCUCGACAUUAUUAUUUGUUUGUUUGGAAGAUUAGGUUCAGAAUAUCAAACACCCUUUUCUUAAAGUGGACCUGUUCAUGAUUUGCAAUAGACUAAUUAGGCCAUUGUGAUUUGCAAUCAAGAUUUGGAAGGAUAUCUGUCAUAAGCUUUGGAAGAAAUAAAUCACUGUGGCUGUUAAUUCUUACCAUUUUAGGCUAUUAAGUGAAUCCUACUAUGCUUUUUGUUAACUGCAAAUUCAAUUGCAUCUUUUCAUAUUGCCAUAUUCAUUGAGUUAAGAUCACUUUAAGGAAAGCAUUUUCAGGAGUGUUUCUUAAUCUUGUGGAUCAUUCAUGAGAGAAACAGGCAAAUGCUGAAUACAACAAAAGUAAAAGAGCACUAAAUCUAUGAAUGGCCUUUCAAUUUCAAGAUAAUUCAAAAGCUAUUUUCAAUGGAGUAGUCUAUUUCUAUUUGAUAUAUACCUAUUGCAGACAAUUUUCUGUCUUAAUCACUCAUCAAAAUUAAUAUUGCAAAAUUUUGGGCAUAACGUAGGUAGUUUGCAAAUAGUUAUGCGCUAAUCAUGUAAGUAAUCUAGGUUAUAAUUAAAUUUCUCAUAUAUAUAUAUAUAUUUAAAACAGAAGAAAUAAAAUGCAAAAAGUUAUAUAAAAUUCAACCAUACAUCUAUUCAAUAUACAUGAUUAGGUGAGUUUCAGAUUACUCCACCUGUGAAUUGAUUAUCUUUGUAUUAUCUCUCUACUUUUGAAAAUUUCAAAUUAUCCUAAAAAUAGUUAACUAUAACGAUUCACUGUCGUUGACCUGUUAAAGUACAAAAAUAUCUCUUUUUUAACAAUUUUUUUUUUGUUAAUUAACGAUAUCAAGCAGCCAUGGGUUUGGUAUCCAUGGCCGCGCUGCCAUGGAUGCAUGGCCUUUGAGUUCUUAGAAUUUUCUUGACCAUGAUAUGCAACUAUAAUCGAUAACUAUUCUGACUAUUUUCAAAUAUGGAAUUUUGACUUCAAAACUAAUUGAGUUAUUGCAAAACUUGCUCAGAUUUUAAUUGGAUUUUAGUUUUACUUUAGUUUUUAUUUACGAAUAGUUUAUUUAAAAUUAUCUAUCAACAAAAAUUUUGGGAGAGAGAAUGUUGCAAUUGUACUGCAUUUAUUUACAGAAGAGAGUGAGUUUUAUUAGAUGAGAAUGAAUGAACGAAUGAAUAGUAAGCAAGUGAGUUUUACUAGAUGAAGAUGAAUGAACAUUAACAAAUGAAUUUUGAGAAUUUUAAUUUUUUGAAAUUAAAUUAAAAUUAAUUUAAUUUAUGUUAAAGUAUCUUUGUUCUCCAAAAUACAAGCCAGGGGUAUUAGUCAUUUUAUCUAAUAAUAAAUAUAAAAGAGUGAAGAAAUAGAAAGGCUUGAUUUCUUUCGAUUACUGAAUGUUUCAAAUUUUACAGAUACUAAUUUACCCUUUUAACAAUUAAAAUUAAUGGAGAAAUAAUAAGAUUUGAGGAGUAAAUUUAGGUUUUAAAAAAUAAGGGGAUAAUUUGAAGAUAGUUAAUUCAUGAGUGGAAUAAUUUGAUAUUUAUCCUAAAUAUUUCAAAAUUAUGGCUAAUAUGCGAGGAACGAUGAUAUAGCAAGCGUCAAUUGGAUGGCAAAUCUAUAUAUACCUUUUUGAAUUAUAUUGUUAGUCAUUUUCAUUCCUUUAAUUUGAUGAUUAUAUGAUUUGAGAUCCCCUUUUUUCAAUCUCAUUUGUAUAACUUUCUCAGUGGCCAGAGCUUUAACAAGGCAACAAGCUAACUGAAUUGAAAAAAAAAAAUUGAAGCUAUCUCAUAUUUGUAAAUUUUCAUUCAAUUUCAUUCAACAGCAAACACCUUCAACAUUAAUUGCUAAGGCUGAAACAAGCCAGACGAAAUGUGACAUUAACAUCAAUUCUACAACAUCGGCUAUACUAACAAUAUCUGCUACACUCAAUGGGCAGAGACUGGAAUUUUAUGAAGCUUGCAGUCAAUUGUUGAGAGGUUACUGACUCGAAUUUUUGUUUGGGGAUUAGCAAUUAUUUUUCUAAAUUUAAAUUAGGAUCCGUUUGGUAUUACGGUUGAAAUUUAAUAAGCUGCUUAUUUCAUAAUUUUCAAUAAAAAUAGUGUUUAGUAAAUUUUGUAAAAGCAACUUAUUUCAUAAUUUUCUCCAUUUUAUCAGAUAUCUAAGUCUUCAAGCAAGAGUUCAAAUUUUAAAAUAAGACAAAAUUCAAGAUGAGAAUGAGUCUCCUGUCUAUCAUGAAAUUGAAGAUGAUUCAUCUAAAUUUUAAAAUUCGUUUUAAAAAAUAUUGAUUAAUUGUAAUUACAUGAAAAUUUUAUAUAAAGUUUUGUGUGGUUAUAUUUAAAUUAGGAUGUAAAAAGAAUUAAAUUUAGGCUGAAAAUUUUGAGUAAUUAGAAAGGGGAAAAAUUGAACCGAUCUGAACCGAACCGAAUUAAUUUGAUUCGGUUCGUGUUUGGUUUCAGUUUUAAAGAACCGAUUGGUUUCCAGAACCGACUCGAACCGAGUAAGGCCCAGCCCUAUAAAACUCAAAGAUUCAAAUGACAUUUUCUUCUCCAAUUCUCCAUCCAGUCACCGCGAAAGCCAUGGGAGUCGAGCGCUUUUCUCUGAAAAUUUCCGCUCAACUUGAAAAAGUUGCGAGAAUGGAACCAGGUUUUGAGGAUACGGAAUUCCCGUACUGGCUGAAGGUAAUAAGUUUACUAUCUUCCUUAGGGAUUUCUUUUUUUUUUUUUAAUUUUUUUUAAAUUUUUUUUUCAGUUCAAGUGCACCGCAGAGGGCUGCCGUUUGGAGCACAGCAAAUGGAUCCCUCUUUUCGUUGGAUCCAAGGUUUCACUUCAGGUAUAAUAGAUAUAUUUCUUUCGGAUGUUAUUUUUACGAGUUUUGUGUACACACUUCAGAUCUGGUGUCUGUUAUCAUAGAAACUCGUUGUUGAAAUGCACUUCAGAUCUGGGCAGUACCACUGCUAGUCAAUUCGAAUUCCAUUCACGUAAUACUUAAUCUUUCUUAAAUGCUACUACGAAAAACUAAGCCCCGAGAACAAAAACUAUUAGUUGUAGCAAUCUAUACCUAAUCAUGUUUGUUCGCGGCAUGCACAUCAGCCACUGUUUGAUUGAUUUAGAUGCAUUAAUAGUUCUCUAAUGACUGGUUUAUGGAAACACAAUUGGCAGCAGCACCAAUAGCUGAUGCUUUAAAACAAGUAAUUGAGAUCUUCUACGAGCAUUAUUAUUAGAGCAUUGAAUUGUCAUUGACAAGAAUUCCAUUCUUAAAGAAAUUGACACAUUCAUGCAUAUCACACAAGCAAGCAUUUUCCGAACAUAUUGGUUGGUACAAAUUAACCCAGGUCUUGGGAGUCAAUUAUGCAUCCUUCAAUUCAAAUGUGAAAUUGACCUAGCUAAUUUGUCACCAAUUUAGGCUGCAAUUAAGGUACCAAUUUCAAGUAUCUAAUAGCAAUUCCUGCCUAUGCUUUUGGUUCUGGUUAUUGUUGAUGGCUGCUUGUGUCUUAUUAAUGUAUGUGCAAUCCUUCUUAGUCAUAACAUAUUUUGUUGUUUGCUUAUGAUAUGAUUCAAUUUUAUGUACAAUAGUGUAAUGACUGCUCUCGGAGAGGGACUCUAGGCCUGGCCUCUGGAUGCUUUGGCGUGCCUUAUGUUGGAGGUGAGUCAACACUAGCUGUUGUGGAGUGCUGUGGCUUCGAGCCAAUAGCCUAUCAGUUUGACAUGGGCUGGAAGAUCGUAGGUGUAAGUUUCUGUUGCUGUACUCUGUUUUCAUUUGCUAAUACUUCAUUUACCAUACCAUGUAAAUUGAAUUGUUUAACUAGUGCUUCCCCCCCCCCCCCCCNNNNNNNNNNNNNNNNNNNNNNNNNNNNNNNNNNNNNNNNNNNNNNNNNNNNNNNNNNNNNNNNNNNNNNNNNNNNNNNNNNNNNNNNNNNNNNNNNNNNNNNNNNNNNNNNNNNNNNNNNNNNNNNNNNNNNNNNNNNNNNNNNNNNNNNNNNNNNNNNNNNNNNNNNNNNNNNNNNNNNNNNNNNNNNNNNNNNNNNNNNNNNNNNNNNNNNNNNNNNNNNNNNNNNNNNNNNNNNNNNNNNNNNNNNNNNNNNNNNNNNNNNNNNNNNNNNNNNNNNNNNNNNNNNNNNNNNNNNNNNNNNNNNNNNNNNNNNNNNNNNNNNNNNNNNNNNNNNNNNNNNNNNNNNNNNNNNNNNNNNNNNNNNNNNNNNNNNNNNNNNNNNNNNNNNNNNNNNNNNNNNNNNNCCCCCAACAGGCCAAUGGGAUUGAAUACCCUAAUACCAGUCUCUCAACUGGGGGUUUUUCUUUAGAUGAAGUUGGUGUGUCGGUGAAUAAUCUGGAGUGGAAGCUGGUGAAACUCAAUUGGUAAAUAAUGACACCUGAAAUUAGAAUGGCAUAUCAAGAAUCUGGAGUGGAAGCUGAUGAAACUCAGUUGGUAAACAGUGACACUUGAAAUUAGAAUGGCAUAUCAGCAUAAAUAAAAGACUUUUUUUUCUUUUUCUUUUUUCUGAUCUAUGUUAUGUUCAAUGAAAGAGUCUUAAAAUAAAAAAUCAAAUUAGAAAACUUAGCAUAGAAUAUAAUUUGGAUGGACUCGGCUGCCUUCCAGUUGGGGGAAGAUACCCCUUAUUUUGUCAUCAUUUGCAAUAGCCGUAGGAUAUAUGGGCACAUGAUCUAAUGGCUCCAGUUUGAUAUCUUUAAUUAUGUUUUAAAUUGGCAACCGGUUAAGACAGGUUACAUGGUACUUUAGGGUUUUAACAAAUGUUCGUGCAAUUUGAGGCAGCGAAAAAAUUGAAAAUAACUGUAGAGUUGGCCAUUUUGGUUAUGAAUUAUCCGCGUUGGUGAGUUGAACAACAGAACCUGUUGGAAAUUUCAGGUAAGUUUGUAUGAAGUGGCAAUAUAACUGUAGCUAUAAGUAUAGGAGUGGCUAUGAGUUAUUUGAAAAAAAUCGUCAAAUAUGAAAAUUGUUUUUUGUAAUGAAUGUAGUUCGUGUGCUUUGAGAUUAGACGGAGCAGAAAAUCGAAAGUGAGGUUCAGACUAAAAAGAUAAUGUGUAACUUUGUCCAAGAAUGAAGGUAGGUCAGAGUGAAAAGCGGAAAGCAUGUUAUAUCUGAAAGCAUGCUAUAUAGAGAUUACUAAGGAAACUGUUGUAGAUACUAGCGUUGCAGAAGGAAGUAGUGGAAGGGAAAGAAACUAUGGAUUCUAUUAGCUUUUUGUAACUUACAGGUUGCUUAUGUUGCAAGAGGUCUCUCAUAUAAUUUCCAUGUGAACUCAGUGAAUUCCAACUUCUCAAGAACUCAAAUCGAUGUCAAUCACCGACUUAUCCCUUACAUAGAAACCGAUAAUGCAACCCAAUAAAUCAUUGUCUGUCAAUUACCUAUGCAAAUUACUAAGGCCACCGGAUACAUGGGAGCCAUAAUAAAUUUCAACAAAAAAUCUCCAGCACAUGUACUUGCUCAUAAUCAACUCCGUUCAAAUUUUCACAAAUCUUCGCGCCUACCCCUUACAACGUCAUUAUACACUGAAAUGUUCAUUACAAGCAAACUAGUUGAAAUUUUAUGGAGUAACACAAAUGCAUUACAAUAGUACAAUGCUAAUUUACACAAAAUUAACUGUUUUCCUAUUUGUUGCCCAUAUGAUAGAUUAUGAUCAGCUUCUUAUAAAAAAUUCCCAUAUGCCACAGUUCUAACUUCAUUCAACCGCCACGAAAUACCAGGUAAUUCCUACACAACAGGACGCUAUCAGCAACAUUAUUCGUCAACUGGGGAUGAUUAAAUUCAUUACGAAGCAUGACAAUAACCUGGCUCCUACUUUGAUCUCCUUAAACAAUGGAGCCCCAGUUGCCCUUCUGCUGUGCAAGGAAUUUGUCUACAGAUAGACCUUUCACAUUGACAGCCUAUGAAAAUCCACAGUUAUAAAUCUAAAAUAGUGCCUACCAACAAAAAGCAAUGUCAUUCCACCAUUCAAUUUGAUUUUAUGGUGAUAGAGGUUCACAGAUAUCUCAAUGGACAAGGAAAAGCAAUUAAACGGAUUAAGUAUGACAAUGCAACAUACUAUAAAGGCAUUUUCUAUAUUCUUUCCAUAAAACACAUUGUUCCACAUACAACCUAAUGCAUACCUCAGCAACCAAACUCUUUCGAAGAAUUAUUUUGCUCUUCCAAUUAAAAUAAUGAAAUGUAAAUGACUAAAUAGUUUUCUCAAAGCCUAUAUUUUGAUUAUCUUUUGGCCAAUAGCAUAUAUACAUGCGACUUAGGGAAAUAGAUAACAAACAAACAUGAUAAAAUAGGAUAAAAAAACAACAUUAUUCAUUAAGGCAUUAAGAAAGCAACCAUAAGUACAACGAAAAUGAAGGACCGCAUCAUGCAUUACAAUACCGCCGCAAUACAAUCUACGUACACAAAGAUGACGUUUGUACCCAAGCAUGCAGCAAAUAUGCUUACAGGUCAGAUCUGUCCAAUGGAUCAGCAAUCUAUGCACUACUCUUUUUGUAGAGACGUACCUCUUCAUCCAAAAGAAAGACAUUGGCUGCUAAUAAUGACCAAGCCACGACAUAAACUAAUAUAACAAAACUUCAAUCUGCAGAUGCACAGUCAACAUUUCCUUUCUAAUAACAUAUUUUGGUACGCAUAGACUAAACAGAAGUCCAAGGAUGGAAAUAAUAAUACAACAACAAUGCAAUAACUCAUCUAAUUACAAAUCCAUUAUCACCUUCUCCAUCUCAAAGGAAACAGACAAAGGAAUCAAUAGAAACAUACUGAACCUAAGCAGGAUGAAGCUAAUGAUUAAACUCUUCAUACAAUCCAUAACAUGCAAAACCAUUUACAGCGUCCUCCACAAGAACCAUAAUUGGCGUCCAACAUAAAUCUCAAAUUUUUACCUUUUUGUUCAUGUAAUUGGUGUCCAAAACGUGGUCGGUCGGUCACCGAAUUUGGGCCGUUGGCAUUGAUAUUGUACUGUUUUUAUUGUUGGUAGAUUAAUUAUGACCUUUGAUUAAAGUGACCAUCUUAUUCUAAAAAUAAUCAUGGAGAUUAGAGGAUUGUUUUUAGACUGUAAUGCCUUUAAUUAUAGUAACCCAAAUAUAUUUCAUCCAUACAUAAUUAUCAAAAAUAGAUUUCAAUAAUCUUUUCUUGAAUAAAUGAGUGACUGUACUUAAUCAUUUCACAAAACAAAAGUAGACUUGCGCUGUCAUUGUCUUCAUGCUUACAUAAAAAAUCUGCCAGUAAAUAUUAUUUCACAUGAAUGUUUAAAAAAAAAAAAUACCACUGGGAAAAUGUUUCAAGUCAUAUUAUUUUGUUUAUCUGUUAAAGCCAUUGUAAAACAUCUGUCAUCAAUAAAUCUCUCGUUGUUACUUAUAUGGUCGUUAUUUGUUUUUAUCUUGUUAAUGAAUAUACUGAAGUUAAAUUGUUUCUCCGCAACUCUAGAUAUUGGAGGAGUGGCAACGUGGGCCGAAUUUGCCCACCCCCUUUUAAUUGAUCAAAUUAAAUUCGGCCCACGUCGCCACUAAUUUAAAUCCUUCUCUGCAACUCUAGAUAUUAAAGGAGUGGCAACGUGGGCCGAAUUUGAACACCCGCUUAUUUUAAUUGAUCAAAUUAAAUUCGGCCCACGUUGCCGCUAAUUUAAAAUCCUUAAUAGAUCAGUGUUAGGAGCACUGCGUCCCCCUAUUAAUCUCAUUAGCCCACUGCUGUAUUAGAAUGAUAUUUAAGAACAAAUACUAGGAUCAGGCUACGGUGCAACUGUGGUACCGUGCCAUAGUUGCAUCCAGCCGUUGGAUGCACUUGGAUUGGUGGGGUCCAUUGGCAUCCAACGGCUGGAUGUAAUUGUGGCACGGUACCACAGUUGCACCACAGGUUUCUUCCAAAUAUUAAUAGGAUUAUCUCAAUUUGUAUAAAACCCAUAUUUUAUUUUUUAAAACCCCUAUCGUAUCUUCUUUUAGUUACUUUAUCUAGCCACUCUGGAUUCUUUUCUACUCAAAUGACAUUUUUUGUUUAAUUGUUUGUAGCUAAUAAACUUGAUGGUGAAUUGUUACCGUAGAGUUUUAAGGUUGGCCAGUAGCCAACGACCUUAAAAGUAAAGAGUACUAAUUAUACCAUGCACAAAUUCAAUUUUUACUUCCCUAAGCAGCUCCUUUUUUUUUUUUAAUCCAUUUGAUACUGAAGAAGAAAGAUGGGGCAUAAAAGGGUAGCUUACCCAAAACAAUUUAGCCAUAUGAUCUUGCAAUAGCAAACAUUGACUUGACUGUGGCACGUCGUUCGCCUUUGCCAAUCAAAAUCGCCAACAUGAGUUUGUUAUUGGAAUUUAUGUCAUGCUGAAAAAAAAAAAAUCCAAUCUUUUCUUCUUUUUUUUUCUUAUUUAUUCAUAUUGAUUAAUUAUAUUUUGGAAAAGCUAGUGUUUUGAGUUUGUAAAGAAUUUAAACAAUUUAAAAUGAAAAGAGUGUUUAUUUAUUGAAAAAAAAAGAAUAUUAUUAAAAUGAAGGUAAGUAUAAUUAAAAGAGAGAUUUUAAGAUAAUUUUGGAGGAGUGCAAGAAUCUACUAAAAAACUUGUACCAAAUUAACAAAUUUUGAUUGCAAAAGGGUGGUAUUGAAUUAAUUUUUGCACGAAACUCAAAAAGUCUAUUUGCAUAAUACCAAGUCAAAAUUGGGGAACUUUCUACAGUACAAGACUUUCUAAUGAAUAAAUUUAUAUUAAUUACCAAAGUAAUAAUCUUUUAAGGAUCAUUUAUUAAGUUUACGGGUAAGCAAUUAUUUUGCGAAGGAUAUAAUCAUGCAAAACUCUUGUGUUCAUUGAGAUUGAUGAAGAAAAUAGAUAUAAAGAGGAUAUUUUUAGCAAUUAAAAUGGGAGUUUAAAGGAAAAGGGGUCUUCCUACUCUGCACCCUGUGUAUGCAUGGUUCAUUAUGGCAUGACAUAAAGUCAAUUAAAUUCUGACAUGUGUGCAAUAAGCAUUGCAAAGUAACCGGUUAUUCCGGUUGAAUUUACAACUGCCCUUGUUUUUGUGUUUGUGUUCCAAGUUCCGUACACCAUGUCACUAGUUCUCUAGUUACUCUCUUAUUAUCACAACUGUUGCUCAAUAAUGUCACAGAUAAUAUGUUGUGCAUGUCACAAGUACUGUAAUUGUGCUUUUAUUGUCUCAAGCGGUGAACACUGAGGUACAAAUUUUGUAAGAAAUGUUCCCAAUAAAAUAAAAUAUUUAAUUAAUUCAAUUAGGAUAAAAUUAUUUUGUGAAAGAAAUUAAAUUUUAAUUUUGAAUGAUUUUGACCAAAAUUUAUGUUAUUUUAUGUGUUUAAGAAAAUGAAUUGUAAUUGUUUUAAUUAAUUGGAAGUAAUGAAUAAGUUAUGCAACAAUAAAUAAAUAAAUAAAAAGCAAAACGGUUAGUUUUGGACAGAUUCGAAUAUUUCCCUCCACCAAACUGCAAAAAAUUAUCAAAAAUUACUAAAUUAUUUAUUUUUUAAAUUAAAAAAUUUGAAACUCGUAUUUUUAUAUUUGUGUCUUUAUAAAUUAUAAAUGUUAAAACAUAAAUAAGAUUAUAUAUUAUUAUAAUCUAAAUUAUAUUCAGUAGAAUACAACCCUUUAAUAUUAUAAAUUAGUAUAUGUUAAUUAAUUUUAUUAUAAUUUAUGAUGUUUUUAUAAAAAAAUUCAUAAAAAUUACGAAGAUAAAUAAUUUUAAUUAAAAAAAUAAAAAGAUAAAAAUAAUAAUAUAUUAUCACAAGUUAUAGAAAUAGGUAAUAAUGUUAAUUAUUAAAUUUUAUUUAUGUAGAGAUAAAAAUUAAUUAAUUAGAUAUGGAUAUUUUGGAAAAUAUCUUUUAAUGAUAUUAGCUAAAAAAAUUAGCUUAAUAACUUAAUAAUGAAUGAAAAUUUUCAUCAAGUUGAAAAAACAAAUGAAUUAACAACUUAACUGAUUGAAAUUAGUCAAUUAAGUCAUUAAAUAAAAGAAAAUGACUCUUUACACUAAUAUAAUCCUAAUUCCAAUUAAUUUUUUUUUUCCAAGUGAUACCUUUUUUUCAAUGGAUGGCAACUGAAUUGAAAUCAACGGAGAUAAACAAUUGAAUCAUGUAGAGCAUAAGAUUGUAGAGCGAGAAUUGGAUGCAAGAGGCUUCGAAAUUAUAUCAUGAAACCUAUUGAAGAAAUUAAAUCAAAGUAGUGUUAAUGAAGAAGCCUUAGAGGUAGUAUAAAAACUUUAUUCUCUAAGUUAGUGUUGGCAUGAAUAUCAUUUCCUAAUUUAAAUGGCCAUUGAAAUAUUGAACCUUAGUAUUGUUACACACACACACACAUACAUAUACAUACACAUGUACAUUUGGUUGUGUAUGUAUAUACUGGAUGGAUUCUAAACCUAAAAAAUAAAAAAAUAUUUUUAGUUAAUUUAAUUAUUAUUUCUAUCACUAAAUGGUGAACCUAUGGAUUUAAAUUAGGGGAGGAUUGUUUCGAUUUAGUAAUACAUGAUAAUCUUGCACAAAUGAUCAAAUGCAUUUAAUAAAUAAAUAAAUGUGGGUGUUAGGAGUCGAACAAAGGUCCCAACUACUCUAAAACUAAAUGAGAUCUUUUUGUGGUGAAGAAAUCGAGCACUAUCUAAAGAGUAGAGACCCAAUAAUUUAUUAAUAUGUUUUGAAUUAUAAGACGGGUUAAUUCCGUCAUGCCCCCAAAUAUUUCAACAUAUUCCACCGCGCACCCAAAUGUUUCAACAAUGCUCAAUCCACACCCAAAUCCGUUAAUUUGACCAUUUAUUCUAACGGUCAAAGGGCAACUUUGGAAGUUCAUGCCCUAAAUAUUAUUUGAUAAUGAUAAAUUAAAUUUAUUUGAUAAAUUAAUUGAUGGGAUUAUUAUUAAAUACUUUUGAUUAAGAAUUUUUAAUGUAAAUAUUAAUUAUUGGAUUAAUAUUUUAUCUCAUUUAAUUCUUUUCUAAUUCAAGAUAAGGGGUAUUUCAGACAUUUCAUUAACUUUCAAAUAGCUCCGUUAAAAAUAACGGUCAAAUUAACGGAGGAAAAUGUUGAAAAGAUUGGGUGCAAGGUGGAAAAUGUUGAAAGAUUUGGGGGUUAGGUGGAAAUAACCCUUAUAAGACCUCUUUAUAGACUCAAAGUCAUUAGGGGAAGGUAAUGAACAAUAAAAUGGAGGACCCAUGACUUUAGAUUAGUGGAAACUUGGUUCAAUAUAGUAAUAUAAGAUAAUCUUACAAAAAUUGAUAAAAUAUAUUCUAAAAAGAAUAAAUGUAGUUGUUUAGAUUCAAACCAAGCUCUCCAUAAUUACUAUAUUAUAGCCAUCAUGUUUUAUUUCAAAUAUGGUUACAUUUAUUUUAAUGUCUCUUUUAGAAGGAUCGUGAGGUAUGCUUAAAAGGAAAAUUAAUGGCCUCAAAUGGAAAUUUGGCCAGAUCUAUUCAGAUUUUAAAUAAAUUUUAAAAAAAAGCCUAAAAAUUGUAUAUCGCAAGUUCCAAAAUGCAAUGUCCCAAAUCUUUCAUAAUUAAUAUUGAGAUGAAAAUUAUGAAUAAGUUGGUAGCCGCGACACAAGAGUCCGGAUGAUGAUGAUGAUGGUAACAACAAUCUAUCAUCAUUAGAAAUGAAAUUUUUGCGUAAAAAAACUAGGUGGGUAGUUUUGGCUCCAAAAGGAUGAUAAAUGAAACUUUUCCUAAGAGUUAAGAUGGUAGAUUACCUACCUAAAUGUUAAUUUUAGUGUUUUUAUAUGAAUAUUAUUAAAGAAAUAAUAUAAAUACAUAACAAAUAUUAUUUCAAACGCAAUAAUAAUAUUAAAAUUAAAAUAAUAUUAACAUAGUUUAUGUACAUCAAUCUAAUUAGUCAAUGGUUAUAAUUAUGAUUGAAUUGAAAUUGUAAUGGUAAUGGGAAUUGUAAUUGUAGUUGGAAUUGAAAUUAAACUUAUAAUUGUAAUUGGAAUUGCAAUUGUAAUUGAAAUUGAAAUCAUAAUAAUAAUUGUAAUUGGGAUGAAUUUGUGAUUGGAAUUGUAAUUAUAAUUCUAUUUUGAGUUAAAGAUGGUAAAUAUUUAGAAUUAUCCAUAAUAUCCACAUUCAUCCAUAUCCAAUUUUAGCUGCUUAAUAUGGAUAUGGAUAACUAUCGAUAUUUGUGGAUUUUUUUUUUCAAAUUCGCAAAUCAUACAAGAUAUUAAUAAGUUAGUAACGUGAUUAUUAAUUUGUUUUACACAGGCUAUUAAGUGAAUCCUACUAUGCUUUUUGUUAACUGGAAAUUCAAUUGCAUCUUUUCAUAUUGCCAUAUUCAUUCAGUUAAGAUCAUUUUCAGGAAAACACUUUCAGGAGUGUUAAUUAAUCUUGUGGAUAAUUUAUGAGAGAAGCUGACAAAUUCUGAAUACAGCAAAAGUAAAAGAGCACUAAAUCUAUGAAUGGCCUUUCAAUUUUCAAGAUAAUUCAAAAGCUAAUUUCAAUGGAGUGGUCUAUUUCUAUUUGAUAUAUACCUUUUGCAGACAAGUUUCUGUGUAUUACUUACUCAUCAAAAUUAAAAUUGAAAUUUUUUGGGCAUAAUAUGCGUAGAUUACAAAUAAUUAUGUGUUAAUCAUGUAAGCAAUCUGGGUUAUAAUUAAGUUCCUCAUGUAUAUGUAAAACAUAAGAAAUAAAAUGCAAAAAGUUAUAUAAAUUUCCACCGUACGUCUAUUCAAUAUACAUAAUUGGGUAAGUCUCAGAUUACUCCACCCCUGUGAAUUGAUUAUCUUUUCAUAUGUCAUGUGCAAUUUGAAAACAACCGGCGUGCUCUGACUUAUUUCUGUGUACGCAUGAAUUUUUUAAAAAGAAGUCAUACGAGGAGAGAUCCUGAUCGUGGUCGAGUUGAUUGAGCAGAGAUCCUAAUCGUGGUCGAGAGGGUAACCAGAAUCUCGCAUCAAUAAAGAACAUAUCUUUAAUUAAAAUUUAAAGAAUAAUACAAAUUAUGAAAUAAGAUAGUGUUAAAUUUUUUUUCAAGGAAUAAUAAUAUUUAAAUAUUUACUUGAAUUUCUUUGGGAUAAAAUUUUUAAAAUAUUUAUCAUUAUUCAUAAAUUACCUCUUCUUAAUAUAUAAUUUUUAUCUUCAUUACUUUAAAUUUUUGUACUUUUCUCAAGAAUAUUUGGGGAUGUACUUCAACGAGACCAGCUGGGUUUAGCAGACAUCUGGUAGUAGGGUUCCACGAACAGGUAUAUCUUGUAAGAGUCUAGUAGCAGGGGAACAGGAGCAGGAAUAUUCCGCUCGUCCACGAAUACGCCAUCCGCGAGGGCGGUCUUCUGUUAGAAGUAUAAAGCCAUUCCUGCUAAGGGUUGAGGCGAGGAGACCCGGUCAACGAGAGUUGGCGAGACGUGCUCUCCAAUCCGAGAAUCAAGGCACGAAGGUCAUGCAACCAUCCACGAUUACAGAAACGGAGCAUUCACUUUCGAGAGGUGGGAGGAUAACGGGCGUGAAUGGAGGGAAGGUCUGAAUUCAGGAGAAGCCUAUAAAAAGGUAGUCAACGAAGGUAAAAUUGUUAUAAUUUUUGACAUUGAAACUGAGAUAAAGAGAGCAUUGAGUAAUCGAUACCAAAAAUAAGCCAUAAAAUUAGUAGCUAACGUUCCCAGGAAGACAAAACCUUCAUUUUUGACUUGGGCGUCAGAGGGUUUAGGCCGAGAAAACAAUCGGCGUGCUCUGACUUAUUUCUUUGUACGCAUGAAUUUUUGGAGAAGAAGUCAUACGAGGAGAGAUCCUGAUCGUGGUCGAGUUGAUUGAGCAGAGAUCCUAAUCGUGGUCGAGAGGGUAACCAGAAUCUCGCAUCAAUAAAGAACAUAUCUUUAAUUAAAAUUUAAAGAAUAAUACAAAUUAUGAAAUAAGAUAGUGUUAAAUUUUUUUUCAAGGAAUAAUAAUAUUUAAAUAUUUACUUGAAUUUCUUUGGGAUAAAAUUUUUAAAAUAUUUAUCAUUAUUCAUAAAUUACCUCGAUUAUUUAAGCAGUUCGGAAAUUUAAAGGGGGUGUCAAGAGUCGAGACUCAAAAGCCUAUUUGAUGACAAAAGAUUGCGUCAUCCGAAGUUGUCAGGUGUUAGAUUUGCGUACUUUGUAACAAACUAGUUCUUCAACUAACAGAUGGAAGUACAUAAAAUGGAUGGAAACGAAACCACUCUUAUCUCCAAAAAGCUUAAUUACUGUUGCGUAGCGACUAGCCGCAUGUCCGAUUCGCGUUAGGAGAAGCAGAAGGACGUGUCCGAUUUGGAUUUGGAAUUUUCAAAAUAUAUAUACACGGGGCAGACUGAGCCUACAUAAUUUUGCUGUUGUGACUUUGUCUGUUUUGGAUUCGGAAUCCUCAAAAUUAAGCCUAUACAAAACAUAGUUAAAGCAGAUCAAUCCUUUCUUGACAGUUCUGCUGUUUCGGUUGCCGUCGCUGUCGCUGUUGGACUGUCACGAUUGAUCGAUCGGAUGAAUAGGUAUUUUAUCAUCCUCAUCCAUAUUGGUUCUGUGUUAACGUGUCUCUUUUUCUUUUCUUUUCCUUUCUUUUCUUUUAUAAAUAAUUCAGUUCUGUUUUAGGCUGAUUUUUCUUUUUCCGGUGAAAGUGAAAGUUUCAGUGUCUCUUCUCGUACAAAAAAGAAAUUAAACAUGUUCAAUUCAAAAGAGUUUUUGUUAGGAUUAUUUAUUUUCUUUAUUACAUUGAAUUAAAUUGAUAGAAUCCAGCCAAUAUUCUUAUUAUUAUUAGUACUCAGUUGUCUCAAUUUAAUUAGCAUACUUAGAAGGAAGAUGUUGCUACUGAUUCAGGGAAUCUGGUGAUGAUAUUGUUAUUAUGGAGGAGGUGCUUAGCAGCAUGGACAGGAUAUCUAAUUUGCCGGAACCAAUACUGCAUUGUAUUUUGUCAUUCCUCUCAUUUAAACAAGUAGUUCAAACAACUGUUUUGUCGCAAGCAUGGGAACGAGCCUGGCGUACAUUCCCAAUUUUGGAAUUUGGUAAAACUUUCUUUAAUCAAGUUCCUUCGGUUUCUUGCAACAACAAAAUUGAAGCUCAACUUGGAGAUGAGAAGUUAAGCAGGGCAUUAAAUUAUGUAGAGGGAACUCUGCGCACCCGCCGCAGGGAGAUGAUAAGGUUAGACAAGUUCACACUUGACUUGUAUGAAUUACGGGUAAAAGAACUCGGACCAUUUGUAGACCGGUGUAUCUUCUCUGCAUUAGAAAGUGAUGUCAAAGAGCUGAAACUCGCACUUCCAUUUCAUACUAGUGCACGUGUUGUUGAUACUAGACCAGGAAUGCCUUCAGUUGACGCUCGUAACAAGCGCUGCUACAAUUUGCCUCAAGAGGUUUUAUGCUCAAAAUCAAUACAAGUGUUAGCCUUAAGUUGUUGUAAGCUGCAGUCUCUGAGAAGUGUGAAGUUAUCUUCUUUGAAAAAAUUAUGUCUCACAAGCGUUUAUGCUGCCGAUCUAGUCCUUGAGAGCCUAGUUGAUGGCUGUCCUUUGAUUGAACAUCUAAGUCUGGUUAACUGCCUUGGCUUUAAUACUCUAGAUCUAUCUGGUCUUACCAAACUCAAUGAAUUCAAGGUUCGUAACUGUCUGGAAGUUCUAUGGCUUUCUAUCCAAGCUCUGAAUGUGAAGACAGUUAGCAUUCAAUUAAGCUUACCAUGCGAGAUCAAUGUAGCCUCCUGUAAGAAUAUUAAAUUUUUAACUCUGCGCCUGCUUUCUCUGAAGGAUGAGUGGCUUUGUAGCCAAAUUCCUAACUUUCCAUUCCUCGAGAAUUUGAAUUUGGUUGGUUGUGACAAGUUGAAGAGUAUUAAGAUUUCAAGUCUCAGUCUUAAGACGCUGAAGAUCUUUGAAUGUGCAGGGUUGAUUGAAGUCAAGAUUGAGGCUCCUAAUUUAAGUAUUUUCAGAUAUGAAGGUGAUGUGGUAUCCUUCUCUAUAGGUGCUAUGACUUUGUUGGAAACUCAUCUCAAUUUCGACAAGAAUAACAGCGACAUUGACUGGUAUUCUGAGUAUAUUGGACUCCUUGCAAUGUUCCAUAAUGUUUCCAAAGCGGUGAAUUUGAAAAGUUACAAGGGUGAGGUAUGUCACUUCUUGCAUGCUAUAUGUAUACAUUUAAAUAUCGAGCUGUUUACUAUUUUACAUACUUUUUUAUUUCUUAUAUAUUAUUCAAAUUCUUUUGUGCAGAAUGCGGAUAUUCCAGAAGACUUGAGGCAAAUCCAAUCUUCCCCAUUCUAUGGUUACAACAACCUGGACUUUGUAAUAACUGGAACCCGUGUGCGAGUCGCAAUUAAAAACACUAUCGAUGGUUUGCUCUGGAUUUCACCUCAUUUAAGGACUGUUACAAUCAAAUCAUUUUACUUGAACUGGUUCUCUUUUAAGGUACUGAAGAUUUUGCAUUGGUCUGAAUUAGUUCUUGGUUUAUACUGUGAGAAUUAUGUGAUUAUGAUACACAUGUAAUGCUGGUACUUAAGUUGGUCCAUUUUACGUUUAUGCCUUUGUUUUGUGUGCUUGUAACAAACGCUGCUUUGCUUAUAAGUGCCUUGUCCUUUUGUUUCAGUUUGAGUUUUCUUAUAAGAAGCAGGCAGUAUAUGAAGGAGG
rnacentral:lncRNA from 1 species